rnacentral:tRNA from 1 species
GCGGGUGUAGUUCAGUGGUAGAACGUCAGCUUCCCAAGCUGAAUGUCCAGGGUUCGAAUCCCUGCACCCGCU